UGCUGGAGCAGUGAGGCCAGGAACUUGUGCUCCAUCCUGCAGAACAGCUGGAGCCAUAUGCUGCCCAUUGCGCUGGGUCUCCUAGCACAGAUACAUCUGGAACACACAGCAAUCUUCGGAAAGGCUGAAUAAAGCUAGAGAUGUUCAUUACCAAGGCGCAUCUCAGAAUGGACAGUUUGCUAGCUCAUGCUGGGGAAUUAAGGGAUGUGGCUGAGUGUUGCUUGUAAUCGUCACCAAAAUGAGGGACUUUCUCAGCUCCACCACAGCCAGGCAGUGCGCAGUGCUUCUGGGAAGAGGAAGGCCCUUCUGUGGAGGAGUAACUCAGAGCAGCAAUGGAAAAUCAUUUGCUUGGCUUUGCCAAACUGUGGUCCUUGUGUGUGGAGGUGAUGACACGAGAAGGCUACGUGGAACUGGGAUUCCACCAAGCAGAAAGUUCCCCGAACAUGAAGUAUUUAGUAACCUGUGGUUGAUUAGUGAGACAGUCAACAGAUACCUUGAAAAAUCAUUUUCUGUAGAGAGACAAACACUGCCUGUUUUUGGUCCAAAAAAAUGGAGCAAAUAAAAGUUAUCAUCAGACCAAAUGAGCAUUUGCUUCACAAAACUUUGCAGCAGCAUGUUAGCUAACAAUAGAAGAGGAGAGGUUCUGGGAAAGAGGAAGAGUUACUAAUGGACUUAACCAAGGUGGCUGCAAAUUCUUGUUGAAGCUGUGAAGAAAACUGUUGUUCAGAACCACAGCUGCAUAGCUAUGUAUGUCUGUCCAGGAGAUAUCAAGCUGUACACCCUGCCCCAGCUGCAAAGGAUGGCAAAGGAUGCUAGGUAUGUAAACGCUUCCAGUAAGGGUUGUUGCUUGGCAGAUAUGCUCAGUGGACUACCUCCCAUCAUUAUCAUUAUCCUCCUUGGAUCCCCUGCCUGUCAGUUCACAUGGGCAUUGUCAGCCAUUGCCAGUUCCUUCUCCACCUUCAGCCACUGACUGGAGAUUCAAUUUUCAUCUCUACCUUCCUUUGCUGCUUUUUUCCAGCUGUCCCAGGAAUGAUAAGCACUGCCCUGGAUCCCAGGAGCUUUCACUUUUCAAAACUUCAUACCUGCUGCAUUGAUGCAGCUUGUUUCCCUUUCAGGGUGACAGCUCUGGAGAUUUGUAAUGGGUGAGGAGUUUAUGCUGAGGAGGUGAAAUAGAGGCCACGAGGCUGCAUAAAAAGACAUAACAGGUUACAUACGUUGACAAGAACUCUGCUAGAAUUGUUUCACUGGGGUCUACUAUGGAGGGAGACUUUCUAGGUUAAAGUCUCAAAGAUAGAUAAAUUCUUACUUAUCAUACAAAGCCUUUAUCUGGGCUAUUCCUUGGUCAUUUGCCAUGACAAGACGUGCUCCUCUCUUUUACUAU
ensembl:lncRNA